GGAAAUUUAAAGAGAUGAACCAUCUCUGAUAGCUGAAAUCAGUAGAGCUGCUGGAAUCUUCUCCACAUAUGAUGGUACUGAUGAGAGAUUCAGAGACAGACUGAAGCUGGACAAACAGACUGGAUCUCUGACCAUCACAAAGAUCACAACUGAACACACUGGACUCUAUGAAGUAAAGAUAAGUGGAGCAAAACAAUCAUCAAAAACAUUCACUGUUUCUGUCUAUGGUGAAUAGAAGCUAAUUUUUAACUAAUUUAUGCAAAACGAUUAAACAUUUUUAUGUUUAUAUGACAGGCACCAUUAUCCACAUUUUUCUCUUUUCUUUCGUGUUUCCAGCUCGUCUGCCUGUUCCUGUCAUCAGCAGUAACUCUUCACAAUGUUCAUCAUCAUCAUCAUCACAGCAGAAUUGUUCAUUGUUGUGUUCAGUGGUGAAUGUGGGUCAUGUGACUCUCUCCUGGUACAAAGGACACAGUUUAUUGUCCAGCAUCAGUGUGUCUGAUCUCAGCAUCAGUCUCUCUCUACCUCUGGAGGUGGAAUAUCAGGAUAACAACACCUACAGCUGUGUGCUCAACAAUCCCAUCAGCAACCAGACCAGACAUCUGGACAUCAGUCAACUCUGUCACACAUGUUCAGAUCAGGGUCCCGUACUGUACAUAGUGUUGAUUUCUGCUGCUGCUGGAUCUCUGUUGAUUGUAGCUGCAGUCGUGAUCUUCUGGAUCUGUAAGAAAUGCACAAAAACUGAUCAAAAAGUUGAGACUCGUGAGGAAGAGAUAACUUACGCCGAGUCAACAUUCUACAAAAGAAAAGCACAGAAAGCAUUGCAACACGUUGAGCCACCAUAGAAGUCUUCAAUUGAGGAUGAAGACCACAAGUGUGUGUUGAACUUUUCAUUACCUGAUGGGACACACUUAUAGUGUUGUAAAAAUAAAGUUAAAGAGCAAGAUAAUGUAGUGUAUGCGCCUGUCCUCAUUUGAAGAUGAUCUUCAAUCUAUGUACAAGAUCCAGCUGUCUGAUCUUACAUCAGGGCCUGAAUUUUGGUGCAUUGAAUUUUAUUUAUUCCCAUAAGUUACAAGAGUGUCGACAAGAAAGACAGUUGCAAGAGUAAAAAUGUGUCUAAUGCUAUGAGAGGGUGAAAAUGGAUACAUUUCAUCUGAAAAUAUUUUUCAGUUUCAUAUUCUAAUUUUAUUCACUUUAUAGAACUUAGUCAGCCUAGAUGCCAUACUGAAUUUAACAUGGAUUUUCAUUAGGUUAAGGUUUUUGCUUUCUUGCAGAAAGCCGUUUUGUCAGCAUUGCACCACCCAGUCUCAAAUUUGUACACUUUUAAUAAUUUGACAGAAGAGUGGUACUAACACUAUUGUCUUAUAGAGCUACUUUACAGCAGAAUUUGGAUUUGCCUCUUUGUCAAUGAAGUUUGCAUUAUUGAUUGUUACUUUGUUACUCGAACAGGUAAACUCAUCUACUCACUAGUCUGCUAUUAUAUGCUUGUUUAUUUAUUUAUUCGGUUUUGUAAUCUGAUAUAUAAUGUUGCAAUUAUUAACAUGUAGCGAUGUCAAUUCUGUUCAAGAAAUGUUCAAGUCUGCUUUAUUGUUGUAUUUUAGUAUUCAUUUAUAUUUGUUGAUACAUGUAGAGUUUAAAAGUCCCUGGAAGCACAUUUAACAAAUACGUUCUUUAAACUUUUGUCAAAACUAUAAUGCAUCUUCAUGCCACAAAGAAAAACUAUCCAAAAGAGAUGACUGUGGGAUUUUCUCUAAAAUAAUGCAACAUAGGCACCUUCUCAAAAAAAUCAUAAAGACUGAAAGAGACAGAAAUUUAUUGAUGGUGACAAUGAACUCUUGCAAAUGUGGUGGUUUAUUUAUAGCCAGAGUGAUGAUAAUGUCCGGGUUGGCCUACAAAAACAUGUCAUACCUGCAGCACUCCAUAGAUCAUGUUGCCAUAGCAAACUUCUGUAAGUAUCUUUCUAAAACCAUAUAAACACAAUGCAGAACAUAACUGCAUCAAUUUCAUAACUGAAGGGGAGCAUAAUAUACAGUGUCACCAUGUUUGUACAGUACUGUUGUUUGUAGUACUGCUUCAAAUAAUAUAUAUUGCACUGCAAAUAUUUAAGUGACAUACCUGUAUUGUUUAUCAAUAAAAUGUAUAUAUGUAAGGAAUGGAGAAAAAAAGAAAAGAAAACUAAACAUAAAAACAUAACUCUUUCCUCAUUGGGACUGAUGUGAGAGAACAGACAUUUCUCUACAUGCGUAAAUAUUAAAAAUCUAUUUAACAAAUUUUCUUACUGUACAAACAAAGCCUGAAGAUUUGAAAGCUUUGGAGGCCCCUGGCCCAAAUUCAGAUAAAACACUAGUAGUCUAGUUUGUCAAAAUAAAACUUACUGUACUCUGAUGUCA